UAUCCACAUCAGCAAAACACUCCACAAAAUUCCACAUCAUUCCCUCCUUAUUGUGUGUUGCGGCAGUUCUAAGGGUGGAAGUUUAAACCUCUCAACCUCUCAUGAUCUUGCAGUUACAUAUUCUUUACUUUCUCUGGCCAUCCACAUUCCAAACUGCUUGCAGCAAUAAUGACCUGUUAUAAUGCCUUGCAUAUUUAUCUGUCACUUUCAUUCUUCUUCUUUCCAUAUUUUCUAAAAGAAUGUUAGUGCAGCCCCAUUAUUCUUCUUCUCCUUUCAAGAUUGAUUCAUGUUCUUCCACCUCCAUUCAUGUUCUUCAGUGUGUCCGCGAUUCCGAUUGGCUCCUGCUUUCAUUUUUGUAUGUUGUUGUUUUUCUGUGUUGUGCGAUGAACACGGUUUGAUGAUGUUGCUGAGAGGUUUCAUUCGCGUUUGAACAUGUGGUGUUCGGUUUUGAAUGUUUGAUGAUGAAUGUUGAGUUGAAACAACUCUGAAUCGGCAAAGCUGGGUGAGAUCUUUCUGAGUUUAUGCUAUUUUCUGUUUAAUCUCUCUUUUUCACUCUCAAACUUUCUGCUUUAUUUUCUCCAUUCAAAUCUGAUUUAGGUGUAUUAAUGUUGCUUAUUUUAGUUUUAUUUUUCGAAUCAAUUAAUAGGCCACCAAGUGUUUCUUACGAUAUUUAUCAGAAUCGUUGUUGUUGAGUUGUUGGUCAGUGUAUGGAUCUUUUCACAAAGUCACGGAAAGAUGAAUAAGUUCGUAUGAAGCUCUUUUGUUGCGAUUGUCGUGAACGGUGAUGUUGCAGAUAUUUGGAAGUUUAAUGAAGGUGAUGGAAGGGAGUUGAAGUCUACAAGUUUCUAAACAAUUUUUCGGCAUAGUUUUGGAGGAAGUAUUAACAAAAACCAAAUGAAUAUUUGAUUGUUUUCAACAAGAGUAGGAAAAUAUGUCAUUAUCAUGUAACAGCAAAAUAUGACUAAGCUGUGUUAUGCUUUGGUGAAUAGGUCUAUACUUAACUUAGGUUAAUGUUUUGUCCUACUUAUGUAUAAACUCUAAGGUUGACCCUGUGAAUAUUAUGAAUGAUAACCACCAGCUGCACCACCUUACCUCUGCAACAUACAUUCGACUAAACCGCUCCGAUCCGUGACCUCCAUCCGUUUGCCACACUCAACGCGACAAGAUAAUUUCACAACAGAAAGUUCGAUCAUAACCACAAAACAAAAAGGAACAAUCUGAAUCAGUUCUAUACUGCUACCGCUUUGGAAUUUUUCACCACCCCGUAGGUUGCAUCUUUUCCUUCUCUCGGUCCAUGAUUGUUGCAUGCAGUUCGGUUUGAUCAUUUGAUAGAAAUUAUAUAUGAUUGAUUGUGUGUUUGUGUUGUUAAAUC